GAGUUUGAUCCUGGCUCAGAACGAACGCUGGCGGCGUGCCUAACACAUGCAAGUCGAACGUGAUCCAGAGCUUGCCCUGGUGAAAGUGGCGCACGGGUGAGUAACGCGUGGAUAACCUACCCUGGUAUCCGGGAUAACAUUCCGAAAGGGGUGCUAAUACCGGAUAAGCCCACGGGCUCUUUGGAGCUUGCGGGAAAAGGUGGCCUCUAUUUAUAAGCUACUGUAUCAGGAUGGGUCCGCGUACCAUUAGCUAGUUGGCGGUGUAACGGACCACCAAGGCGACGAUGGUUAGCUGGUCUGAGAGGAUGAUCAGCCACACUGGAACUGAGACACGGUCCAGACUCCUACGGGAGGCAGCAGUGGGGAAUUUUGCGCAAUGGGGGAAACCCUGACGCAACAACGCCGCGUGAGUGAUGAAGGCCUUUGGGUCGUAAAGCUCUGUCAGAGGGGAAGAAAUGAUAUAGUGCUAAUACCACUUUAUCUUGACGGUACCCUCAAAGGAAGCACCGGCUAACUCCGUGCCAGCAGCCGCGGUAAUAC
rnacentral:rRNA from 1 species